AAAAGUUUAGUUUAAUUUAAAAUAUUAGUUUGUAAAACUAAAGUUAUUAACUUUUG
rnacentral:tRNA from 1 species